UGGUUCAGGAUGAACGCUGACAGAAUGCUUAACACAUGCAAGUCUACUUGAUCCUUCGGGUGAAGGUGGCGGACGGGUGAGUAACGCGUAAAGAACUUGCCUUACAGACUGGGACAACAUUUGGAAACGAAUGCUAAUACCGGAUAUUAUGAUUGGGUCGCAUGAUCUGGUUAUGAAAGCUAUAUGCGCUGUGAGAGAGCUUUGCGUCCCAUUAGUUAGUUGGUGAGGUAACGGCUCACCAAGACGAUGAUGGGUAGCCGGCCUGAGAGGGUGAACGGCCACAAGGGGACUGAGACACGGCCCUUACUCCUACGGGAGGCAGCAGUGGGGAAUAUUGGACAAUGGACCAAAAGUCUGAUCCAGCCAAUUCUGUGUGCACGAUGAAGUUUUUCGGAAUGUAAAGUGCUUUCAGUUGGGAAGAAGUCAGUGACGGUACCAACAGAAGAAGCGACGGCUAAAUACGUGCCAGCCGCGGC
rnacentral:rRNA from 1 species